rnacentral:rRNA from 1 species
AUUGAACGCUGGCGGCAGGCCUAACACAUGCAAGUCGAGCGGGGUUUUCGGACCUAGCGGCGGACGGGUGAGUAAUGCGUAGGAAGCUACCCGAUAGAGGGGGAUACCAGUUGGAAACGACUGUUAAUACCGCAUAAUGUCUACGGACCAAAGUGUGGGACCUCCGGGCCACAUGCUAUCGGAUGCGCCUACGUGGGAUUAGCUAGUUGGUGAGGUAAUGGCUCACCAAGGCGACGAUCCCUAGCGGGUUUGAGAGGAUGAUCAGCCACACUGGAACGGAGACACGGUCCAGACUCCUACGGGAGGCAGCAGUGGGGAAUAUUGGACAAUGGGCGCAAGCCUGAUCCAGCCAUGCCGCGUGUGUGAAGAAGGCCUUCGGGUUGUAAAGCACUUUCAGUAGGGAGGAAGCGUUGUGUGUUAAUAGUACACAGCGUUGACGUUACCUACAGAGGAAGCACCGGCUAACUCUGUGCCAGCAGCCGCCGUAACAC